rnacentral:rRNA from 1 species
AAAAAGANACCCCCACGUUCGGAUUGAAGGCUGAAAUUCGCCUUCAUGAAGCCGGAAUUGCUAGUAAUGGCAGGUCAGCAUACUGCCGUGAAUACGUUCCCGGGCCUUGUACACACCGCCCGUCACACCAUGAGAGUUGGGAAUACCCGAAGCCUGUGAGCCAACUGUAAAGAGGUAGCAGUCGAAGGUAGAAUCAAUGAUUGGGGGUGAAGUCGUAACAAGGUACC